rnacentral:rRNA from 1 species
GAUGAACGCUGGCGGCGUGCCUAAUACAUGCAAGUCGAGCGAACAGACGAGGAGCUUGCUCCUCUGACGUUAGCGGCGGACGGGUGAGUAACACGUGGAUAACCUACCUAUAAGACUGGGAUAACUUCGGGAAACCGGAGCUAAUACCGGAUAAUAUAUUGAACCGCAUGGUUCAAUAGUGAAAGACGGUUUUGCUGUCACUUAUAGAUGGAUCCGCGCCGCAUUAGCUAGUUGGUAAGGUAACGGCUUACCAAGGCAACGAUGCGUAGCCGACCUGAGAGGGGGAUCGGCCACACUGGAACUGAGACGCGGUCCAGACUCCUACGGGAGGCAGCAGUAGGGAAUCUUCCGCAAUGGGCGGAAGCCUGACGGAGCAACGCCGCGUGAGUGAUGAAGGUCUUCGGAUCGUAAAACUCUGUUAUUAGGGAAGAACAAAUGUGUAAGUAACUAUGCACGUCUUGACGGUACCUAAUCAGAAAGCCACGGCUAACUACGUG